GCUUGCGGUACCACCUGACCCGACCGCACGCACAAACACGAAGAUUGCCCGUCCGUGUCACCCUUGAAGACUCUUGGGUCAAGUGCCGCGAGUGCUUGAGAAGGCCGGCACGGCGCACAAAGAGGUAGUGGUGUGGCCACCGCGGUGCCCAGCCACCUUCAUCUACCCAGUGCUGAUGCGAUCCGCCAACUCUUGCCUUCGAAGCACUGGAUCACAGGCGUGGGCCAAUUGCGUGUGAACACGUGUUCAUACACGGCCUGCGGACGUUCCACUAUCAGUAAUGAACCAAGUCUCUCACUACCGGCUUCUUGCCAGAGAGAUGUGUAUGUGUAGUACAUGUAUAACAGUUCACCCACGUGAUGAUUAGAUACAUUUUAGCGAUUUAGGAUUAAAAUUCGAGCGAACAAUUGACUCUUCUUUUCUACACACGGUGGUGGUACGGUGGCUGGUGAGCGGUGCGGAUCUACGAGGGGGCUCACGCGGGGUGGCCUUGGAGGAACUGCUGCCUCUUGGGGAGCAGCGGCAGCGUCCGCUGCUUGAGCCUCUCCAGCGCGAGCGACCCCGCCGGCGGGGCCUGCUCCUCCUCCUCGCUCGGCGGCCCCGGGUCUGGCGAGGGGAACAAUGUGAGAGAGCGGCCACCAUGGGGCCUCGCAGGCCGCACGCCUCGUUGGCCAGACUCAUGAGCGACUGCUUCAUCUCGCGCUGCAGCUCCUGAGGGGGACGGGAAGAGCCCCGGUAGUCGGAGCAAGGGCUCAACGCUCGGCGGGGUCACACGGGAGUCGCGCGCGAAGAGUGCUCACCUCUUCAUGAAGAGCGGCAGCUGCUGGCAGAACACCUCGUGCGUGGCUUUCACGUCCCGCGCGCAGUACGACAUCAGCUCCUGCCGCGGCGCCACACGACAUAAACGAUCGGCAUAAUCAAAGCCAUUGCGUUAUGGAAGAGGGGCCAUUGACCGAAAUGUCGCCUGUUUUUUAUUGUUUCUUGUUAGGGCCACACAGUGUUACUGAUGAAUGUGUUGAGUUCAUUUGUAAUAUCGAAUGGAUGCUUGUACAAUUGUAUAAUACAUAUUUAAACAUUCGUUCCCCCCACUAUCAUGAA